GGGGGCUUGUGACUGGGAUGGGGCUCAGGGAAAGUCUGAGAAGGCUGGGAAAGUUCCAUUUCUUGACCUGGGUGGUGGUUACAGAAUGUUCACUUUGUAAUAAAUCCCUUAACUCAAUUCACUGAACAGUUUUCACUUCCCUGAAUUCACUAAA